rnacentral:rRNA from 1 species
UACAGAGGGUGCGAGCGUUAAUCGGAAGUACUGGGCGUAAAGGGCGCGUAGGCGGCCGCCUAAGUCAGACGUGAAAUCCCUCGGCUCAACCGGGGAACUGCGUCUGAUACUGGGUGGCUUGAAUCCGGGAGAGGGAUGCGGAAUUCCAGGUGUAGCGGUGAAAUGCGUAGAUAUCUGGAGGAACACCGGUGGCGAAGGCGGCAUCCUGGACCGGCAUUGACGCUGAGGCGCGAAAGCCAGGGGAGCAAACGGG